rnacentral:rRNA from 1 species
GGACCGUCCAAACGUUUAUUCGGAAUCACUGGGCUUAAAGGGUGCGUAGGCGGCCUGACAAGUUGGGUGUGAAAUCCCUCGGCUCAACCGAGGAACUGCGCUCAAAACUGUCAGGCUAGAGGGAGAUAGAGGUGAGCGGAACUUAUGGUGGAGCGGUGAAAUGCGUUGAUAUCAUAAGGAACACCGGUGGCGAAAGCGGCUCACUGGAUCUCUUCUGACGCUGAGGCACGAAAGCUAGGGUAGCGAACGGGGGAUUAGAUACCCCGGUAGUCCUAGCUGUAAACGAUGAGCACUUGGUUGGAGACCCCCUCCAUAGGUUUCCCGGCCGAAGCGAAAGUGUUAAGUGCUCCGCCUGGGGAGUAUGGUCGCAAGGCUG